rnacentral:piRNA from 1 species
UGUUCUGAAAUCAUUGGGUUG